CCUUAGAGUUUGAUCCUGGCUCAGGAUGAACGCUGGCGGCGUGCCUAAUACAUGCAAGUCGAACGAAUCUCUUCGGAGAUGAGUGGCGAACGGGUGAGUAAUACAUAGGUAACCUGCCCCUGUGCGGGGGAUAACAGGAGGAAACUCCUGCUAAUACCGCAUAGCCAUGAGCACCGCAUGGAGCUCAUGCCAAAUAUCCUUUCGGGGAUAGCGCAGGGAUGGACCUAUGGCGCAUUAGCUUGUUGGCGGGGCAACGGCCCACCAAGGCAACGAUGCGUAGCCGGCCUGAGAGGGCGGACGGCCACAUUGGGACUGAGACACGGCCCAGACUCCUACGGGAGGCAGCAGUAGGGAAUUUUCGGCAAUGGGGGAAACCCUGACCGAGCAACGCCGCGUGAGCGAAGAAGGCCUUCGGGUCGUAAAGCUCUGUUGUAAAGGAAGAACGGCGCAUACAGGAAAUGGUAUGCGAGUGACGGUACUUUACCAGAAAGCCACGGCUAACUACGUGCCAGCAGCCGCGGUAAUACGUAGGUGGCGAGCGUUAUCCGGAAUCAUUGGGCGUAAAGAGGGAGCAGGCGGCCGCAAGGGUCUGUGGUGAAAGACCGAAGCUAAACUUCGGUAAGCCAUGGAAACCGGGCGGCUAGAGUGCGGAAGAGGAUCGUGGAAUUCCAUGUGUAGCGGUGAAAUGCGUAGAUAUAUGGAGGAACACCAGUGGCGAAGGCGACGGUCUGGGCCGCAACUGACGCUCAUUCCCGAAAGCGUGGGGAGCAAAUAGGAUUAGAUACCCUAGUAGUCCACGCCGUAAACGAUGGUCACUAAGUGUCGGGGGUCAAACCCCGGUGCUGCAGUCAACGCAAUAAGUGACCCGCCUGAGUAGUACGUUCGCAAGAAUGAAACUCAAAGGAAUUGACG
rnacentral:rRNA from 1 species